UAUGGGCCCGGAAAUCGGUUGUUAAGUCUGGGCCCCAGUUUGAGGUAACCCUUGGUUUUCUAAGCCUGUGACAGUCAUACUUAAACUCCCUGCAGAAGAAGGAUCACUUAAAAGUACGUACAUACAUGGAGCGCUUUGAACAUGAAGUAUUCAUUAGCAAGCCAUUUCUUUUCGAGCCACAGACUCAGAAAAGGAAUACAUUUUGCUCAUUUCGCUCGAUGUGUUCGAAGGCAUUUUGUUUCCGAAGGGGAGGGGGGGAGAGAAACGCUUCUUCUACAGUUUAUCCUCCUUCGCGGGAGGAAGCUCAUUUAAGCAGACCAGGGAAAACUGCUUCGAAGGCCGCCACCCCCCCCACCUCCCAUUGCAAACUCAAAUGAACUCGCUGCGUCAAGAGCGAAAACAAAGCGGUCAAAGGGAUUGGCAAAGAUAAGCAUUCUGGGAUGGACUUCGAAGUUUGUAUUUCGGGAUGAGGGGAGAGAGGGAGGGGGGCAGGGAAACUUCUUCCGAGAAAGGCGCUUGGCCAGCAGCCUCCGGCGCGUCCUUCAUCCGCUCCGCAAACCACAACCCAAAUGCCCUUCUCCGAGGGACGCCCGGCGAGCUGCCGAGGCGAUUUCCCACCUCGCUUCCCCUGCAAGGGCGCUCGGGAGAAGACCGAGAAGCAACUUCCUCGAGUCACAGGGGCUUGGGGGGGGGAGAGAAAAGCGAUCAAACAGCGGGGCGGGACGCGGGUGUUCACUUUCCACGGGUUGCGCACGGCCAGACAACACACACACACGCAAAGCACGCAGCAGCAGCAGCUUCUGAGGGUGGGAGGGCUGGUCGAUGGCUGCUCCCAAGAGGACGCCUGGACAGGGCCGGGAUUGGUACUCCGAGGCAGCUGGGAAACUCCCCAAUCUCUCUUUAUCUCCUCCUUCCUUCCUUCCGCACCCCCCUCCUCCUCCUCCUCCUCCUGCUCCAUUUCGUUCGUCGCUCCCAAGAUCGGUGGCCACCCCACCCACAAACAAGAAAACAAACCCAGAGGCCAUUAGAGGCUGCGUGCGCUGCACGACGCUGCUGCAAGGUGCAACCCUAGAUUCUAAAACACAUGGUUCCCCAAAAAAUUCCAGCAAUGACAUACAUGUUGGAUUUAUCACUGCUUUCUGAUGGAACAAGUUGACUGGAUUUACAGAAUCAAUAAAACCACAAAGGGGAAAGCAAGAACACAGUCCUCCCAAUAACACAAAUUAUGCAGUCAAAUUUCCCACAUUUGGGGGAAUUGCAGGGAUCAGCACACCCAGACUGUUAUGGGUGAGCCUCACCCUGGGAAAACCAUUUUCACAAUCAUGGU